ensembl:lncRNA
AGAGCUCCAUAUUCAAACACACCAUCACAACCAUACACUCACAGGACAGCUACUGUAUGUACAGGAUAUACAACAACAUCAACACAGAGCUCCAUAUUCAAACACACCAUCACAAUCCCUUGGCAAAAAACCACAAGGCAUAUGGAGAGAAAAACUUCAAAUAUAUCCUCUCCCCUCCCUCUCAUCAGACUCCCCAAUAAGCGGCGAAAGUCCUUUUGGCUUGUCAUGAUCGCUAUUAAAGGAUAAUAAAAUUAAUCGUUUUUUACAAUUGGGUGGCAGUCCACAAAGCUACAGAAUACUAAAAUGAUCAUAUUUGAGACAAACACUGAACUGUUUUUGAAACACAUUUUGAAAAUAAAGCCAGAAAGUUAUUGCGAGAACUUUAGGAAUGUGCUGCCAUUUAUGAUUUAUUCACAUAUCGUCCAACCCAAUUAGAUCAGUAGUUUAAUGAGAAACAGCUGAACGCCUACCAAACACAGAACACACAAUCAAACAUUCAAAGAUGCUAUAGCUAACUAUCCAGCUAAAAUCACAUAUAAAUGCUAACAAUCACAGGAGGUUGGUAAUUGGAGAGGACAGGCUCGUGGUAAGGGCUGGAGAAGAUUUUGAUACCAUUCCAACAAUACAUCAGACACAAGGUUUCCAGGUGUUUGAUACCAUUCCAACAAUACAUCAGACACAAGGUUUCCAGGUGUUUGAUACCAUUCCAACAAUACAUCAGACACAAGGUUUCCAGGUGUUUGAUACCAUUCCAACAAUACAUCAGACAAAAGGUUUCCAGGUGUUUGAUACCAUUUCAACAAUACAUCAGACACAAGGUUUCCAGGUGUUUGAUACCAUUCCAACAAUACAUCAGACACAAGGUUUCCAGGUGUUUGAUACAUUCCAUUAACUCCGUUCCAGACAUUAUUAUGAGCCGUCCUCCCCUCAGCAGCCUCCACUGGUAACAAUAUCAAACAGUGUAAAAGCAAUUUAACAAAGGUAUAAAAAUGAAUUAAGUCUAAAGUCCUUGAAUUCUGAGUAGUAUAUGGGAUAUGUUCAGAUAUUAUACUGUAUAAUUAACAACGUUUUUACAACUUACUUGCAAUGUUCAUAUAAUGUUCUAAGUCAGGCAUUUGCACAAUGAUGCCUCUUUGAGUUUGGCUUAUGUCAUGUAUCUUAUGAACAUUCAUAUAGAGGUUCUAAUCAGGAACAGCCACACCCGGCAAUGUCAUUUCUCUACAAUAUGACCACCCGAUGUUGUGCCAUUCAUUAUCAAUAAUACUGAUAUUUGAUUGUCUGCACUAAACUUCCAUCCACUCCUCCUUCCCCCAAUGAUCCUCCUUCCCAUCAACCCUCUCCCAGCUACACAUCCCAGACCAUUCACUUUCAUAGGCAACACUCAAAGUGCACUUGAGUACUUCACCCUCCAGUCAGAGGAGACUUUACUGGAUUAGGGCACUUCUUUUCUCCAAGUGGUUUUAAACUACAUCAACUAUCCCUAAAUAAGGGCACUUCUUUUCUCCAAGUGGUUUUAAACUACAUCAACU